AUUCAACGCUGGCGGCAUGCUUUACACAUGCAAGUCGAACGGUAGCAGGCCGCAAGGUGCUGACGAGUGGCGAACGGCUGAGUAAUGCAACGGAACGGGCCCCGUCUGGGGGGAUGACGCAGCGACAGCUGAGCUAAUACCGCAUACGACCUAUGGAUGAAACCGGGGGACCGUAAGCCAUCGCGCGAUUGGACCCGCCGAGCUCAGAUUAGGUAGUUGGUGGGGUAAAGGCUCACCAAGGCAACGAUCUGAAGAUGGUCUGAGAGGCCGACCAGCCACCCUGGGACUGAGACACGGCCCAGACUCCUACGGGAGGCAGCAGUGGGGAAUUUUGGACAAUGGGCGCAAGCCUGAUCCAGCAAUGCCGCGUGCAGGAAGAAGGCCUUCGGGUUGUAAACUGCUUUUGUACGGAACGAAACGGUCCUGGUUAAUACCUGGGGCUAAUGACGGUACCGUAAGAAUAAGCACCGGCUAACUACGUGCCAGCCGCCGCCGUAAGAC
rnacentral:rRNA from 1 species